rnacentral:rRNA from 1 species
UACAGAGGUCCCAAGCGUUGUUCGGAUUCAUUGGGCGUAAAGCGCACGUAGGCGGAUUGCUAAGUCAGGGGUGAAAUCCUGGAGCUCAACUCCAGAACUGCCUUUGAUACUGGCGAUCUCGAGUCCGGGAGAGGUGAGUGGAACUGCGAGUGUAGAGGUGAAAUUCGUAGAUAUUCGCAAGAACACCAGUGGCGAAGGCGGCUCACUGGCCCGGUACUGACGCUGAGGUGCGAAAGCGUGGGUAGCAAACAGG